GCUUACCAUGCAAGUCGAACGAUGAAGCCCAUGCUUGCAGGGUGGAUUAGUGGCGAACGGGUGAGUAACACGUGAGUAACCUGCCCCUGACUCUGGGAUAAGCCCGGGAAACUGGGUCUAAUACCGGAUAUGACUUCCUACUGCAUGGUGGGUUGUUGAAAGAUUUAUCGGUGGGGGAUGGACUCGCGGCCUAUCAGCUUGUUGGUGAGGUAAUGGCUCACCAAGGCGACGACGGGUAGCCGGCCUGAGAGGGUGACCGGCCACACUGGGACUGAGACACGGCCCAGACUCCUACGGGAGGCAGCAGUGGGGAAUAUUGCACAAUGGGCGGAAGCCUGAUGCAGCGACGCCGCGUGAGGGAUGACGGCCUUCGGGUUGUAAACCUCUUUCAGUAGGGAAGAAGCGAAAGUGACGGUACCUGCAGAAGAAGCGCCGGCUAACUACGUGCCAGCAGCCGCGGUAAUACGUAGGGCGCAAGCGUUAUCCGGAUUUAUUGGGCGUAAAGAGCUCGUAGGCGGUUUGUCGCGUCUGCCGUGAAAGUCCGAGGCUCAACCUCGGAUCUGCGGUGGGUACGGGCAGACUAGAGUGAUGUAGGGGAGACUGGAAUUCCUGGUGUAGCGGUGAAAUGCGCAGAUAUCAGGAGGAACACCGAUGGCGAAGGCAGGUCUCUGGGCAUUUACUGACGCUGAGGAGCGAAAGCAUGGGGAGCGAACAGGAUUAGAUACCCUGGUAGUCCAUGCCGUAAACGUUGGGCACUAGGUGUGGGGGACAUUCCACGUUUUCCGCGCCGUAGCUAACGCAUUAAGUGCCCCGCCUGGGGAGUACGGCCGCAAGGCUAAAACUCAAAGGAAUUGACGGGGGCCCGCACAAGCGGCGGAGCAUGCGGAUUAAUUCGAUGCAACGCGAAGAACCUUACCAAGGCUUGACAUGUGCCAGACCGCUCCAGAGAUGGGGUUUCCCUUCGGGGCUGGUUCACAGGUGGUGCAUGGUUGUCGUCAGCUCGUGUCGUGAGAUGUUGGGUUAAGUCCCGCACG
rnacentral:rRNA from 2 species